AAGGACUGUAGCAGAACAGCUAUGCAACAAGCCAAAGUCACAAGGACAGCCACCACCCUGCUGGGAUCCCAGGGUGUGUGUCUGUGUGUGUGUGUGUGUGUGUGUGUGUGUGUGUGUGUGUGUGUGUGUGUGUGUGUGUGUGUUGUGUCUCCCAGGGACAGUGCUUCUGGUCAUAAAACCGUCCUCUCACCAAAACUCUGUGACACUGAGAUGAGCAGACACUAGCUCAAGGGCCUCUUACACAGGCAUCAGACUACCAAGUGGGAGCCAAAGGGCUGCUGGGUACCACUGCACGGGUAGGACACUGCACAGUUCAGGAGACUCUUGGAGAGAGGUACCCCAGGAAUUGUAGAGGUGACCAAGACUAGGCCAUCAGAGACAAAUAGAUUAUCAAAAGGAGUAGGCUUUUCUUUCUCUGGGA
rnacentral:lncRNA from 1 species